rnacentral:rRNA from 1 species
CAGAGGGGGCAAGCGUUGUUCGGAAUUACUGGGCGUAAAGGGCGCGUAGGCGGCCUGCUAAGUCGAACGUGAAAUCCCUGGGCUCAACCCAGGAACUGCGUCCGAUACUGGUUGGCUUGAAUCCGGGAGAGGGAUGCGGAAUUCCAGGUGUAGCGGUGAAAUGCGUAGAUAUCUGGAGGAACACCGGUGGCGAAGGCGGCAUCCUGGACCGGCAUUGACGCUGAGGCGCGAAAGCCAGGGGAGCAAACGGGAUUAGAUACCCCGGUAGUCCUGGCCCUAAACGAUGAAUGCUUGGUGUGGUGGGUAUCGAUCCCUACCGUGCCGAAGCUAACGCAUUAAGCAUUCCGCCUGGGGAGUACGGUCGCAAGGCUG